AUCCAAAAGAUAUGCUAUAAAUACUCGAAUAUUAUUUGUAUUUGUCUAGACUACUGUUUACCAUCAGUUCAACCUUUCAAUCAAUCAUUGUACAUCCACCAACCAAAAUGAGGUUGCUAUUUUUUGCUUCCUUUCUUCUUAUCGUCAUCGCCUCUUUCCAAUUGACGGAAACAGAAGCCCAAUGGGUCGGAGGGCCUUCGUUCAAGACUUACAAAACUUAUCAUCAGUGCCACAGAGCUUGUAGAACUGGAUUCUGCAAUGUGGUCCUAGACGGGAUAAGAGGAGGUGAAGCUUAUGUCUGCGAAGGAGGUUCACUAAAUUAGCGCUUACGCAAUACUGCUUCAUACAUUUUCAAUUGUCAUGUGAUGAUAAUUUUGUAAAAUAUAUCAAGUCAAUUUUCGUUUCUUCUUCA